rnacentral:misc_RNA from 1 species
AAGUCGUAACAAGGUAACCGUAGGUGAACCUGCGGUUGGAUCAUUAACAAAAUGAUAAAAGUCAGGGGUAAUAUCCUGGCUUUUAUAAACACCUGUGAACUGUAAUUGUAUCUGGUGGGGAAGGCAAGAGUUUACUCCUGUUGAACCCACUUUUAAAUUUGAACUCGUACAUCUUGAAUUAGUUUUAAUCUAAAUAAUUUAAAACAACUUUUGACAACGGAUCUCUAGGCUCUC